AUUGAACGCUGGCGGCAGGCCUAACACAUGCAAGUCGAACGAGUGGCGGACGGGUGAGUAAUGUCCGGGAAACUGCCCGAUGGAGGGGGAUAACUACUGGAAACGGUAGCUAAUACCGCAUACCAUCGGAUGUGCCCAGAUGGGAUUAGCUAGUAGGUGGGGUAACGGCGCACCUAGGCGACGAUCCCUAGCUGGUCUGUGAGGACUACCAGCCACACUGGAAGUGAGACACGGUCCAGACUCCUACGGGAGGCAGCAGUGGGGAAUAUUGCACAAUGGGCGACAGCCUGAUGCAGCAAUGCCGCGUGUAUGAAGAAGGCCUUCGGGUUGUAAAGUACUUUCAGCGAGGAGGCGUUACUCGCAGAGGAAGCACCGGCUAACUCCGUGCCAGCAGCCGCGGUAAUAC
rnacentral:rRNA from 1 species